UCCUACGGGAGGCAGCAGUGGGGAAUCUUGGACAAUGGGCGAAAGCCUGAUCCAGCAAUGCCGCGUGUGCGAUGAAGGCUUUCGGGUUGUAAAGCACUUUUGUCAGGGAAGAAAUGGUUCGAGCCAAUACCUCGAACUUCUGACGGUACCUGAAGAAUAAGCACCGGCUAACUACGUGCCAGCAGCCGCGGUAAUACGUAGGGUGCAAGCGUUAAUCGGAAUUACUGGGCGUAAAGCGUGCGCAGGCGGUUUACUAAGACAGGUGUGAAAUCCCCGGGCUUAACCUGGGAACUGCAUCUGUGACUAGUAGACUAGAGUUUGGCAGAGGGGGGUGGAAUUCCUGGUGUAGCAGUGAAAUGCGUAGAUAUCAGGAGGAACACCGAUGGCGAAGGCAGCCCCCUGGGCCACCACUGACGCUCAUGCACGAAAGCGUGGGGAGCAAACAGGAUUAGAUACCCUGGUAGCCCACGCCCUAAACGAUGUCAACUAGUUGUUGGAUCUUUUCUGAUUUGGUAACGAAGCUAACGCGUGAAGUUGAC
rnacentral:rRNA from 1 species